rnacentral:rRNA from 1 species
CCUACGGGCGGCAGCAGUGGGGAAUAUUGGACAAUGGGCGAAAGCCUGAUCCAGCCAUGCCGCGUGUGUGAAGAAGGCCUUCGGGUUGUAAAGCACUUUCAGUGGGGAAGAAAGCCUUGGGGCUAAUACCCUCGAGGAAGGACAUCACCAACAGAAGAAGCACCGGCUAACUCCGUGCCAGCAGCCGCGGUAAUACGGAGGGUGCGAGCGUUAAUCGGAAUUACUGGGCGUAAAGCGCGCGUAGGCGGUCUGAUAAGCCGGUUGUGAAAGCCCCGGGCUCAACCUGGGAACGGCAUCCGGAACUGUCAGGCUAGAGUGCAGGAGAGGAAGGUAGAAUUCCCGGUGUAGCGGUGAAAUGCGUAGAGAUCGGGAGGAAUACCAGUGGCGAAGGCGGCCUUCUGGACUGACACUGACGCUGAGGUGCGAAAGCGUGGGUAGCAAACAGGAUUAGAUACCCGUGUAGUC